GCUUUCACAAGCCCUAAAUCUUUCACCUUCCUUCGAUUCAGAUCAUAAAAUUCCUUCAACUAUUCAGCUAAUGUUUUCUUUUCCGAUUUCGAAUUAAGUUUCUGCCUGUUUUGGGUUUCGGAUGUUGGAGUAUUUCACAUCUCACAAUUUCAGCGAUGUAGUUUUGAUCAGAUCUGAUGAAUUUCAUUUUAGUUUCUCUACCUUUCGGUUUUGUUGGUUCCAUUUUUUUUUUCUUUUGGAAUUGGCGAUGAACGAGCAAAAAUUCAGGCAGCCCCUUGGCCUGAUCGAGAUGGCAAAGGAGGUGUUGUUUUGCUCGGAGAUCAAAGCUUUUGCUCUUCAGAUACGCUGAGAAGUAUGGGGGGGUUUCUCCUUCUUCUUCUCUGAUGCGGGUCUAAUUAAUGGUCAAAGCCAUAUAAUUUUCAAUCUCUUGAAGAGAAAGGCCGAGCAUAUGAGAUAACACCUUUUAAUCUCUUUUAACUACUCCACCUACCAUUACUGGAGGACCAAUUUUCCUUGGCUUGAGGAUGUGUAAAAGUGAAGCUAUCCGAAAUUUGAUUCUGGACAGUAA